GCCGGGCAUGGUAGCCGACGCCUAUAAUUCCAGCUACUCCGGAGGCUGAGGCAGGAGAAUCGCUUGAACCUGGGGACAGAGGUUGCAGUCAUUUGAGACCAGUGCCACUUCACUCCAGCCUGGGCGAAAGAGUGAGNNNNNNNNNNCUCACUCUUUCGCCCAGGCUGGAGUGAAGUGGCACUGGUCUCAAAUGACUGCAACCUCUGUCCCCAGGUUCAAGCGAUUCUCCUGCCUCAG
rnacentral:SRP_RNA from 1 species